ACCGUCUCAGGCUCACACCUGGAGAGUUUCCAGUACUCUACCAGUCUUGACUUUGGGAGGGAGAGUCAAGCGAAGGGAUACCCAUUCCAUUCCUAGUUUGGCCAGUGGCUAGUGAAUGGAAGGCAAUCUGCUACAAGU